CCCCGCUGGUUUCUCUCUCUCACCCCAUUUCCUUGCUUUUCUUUUUCAUUUUCUAUCAAGGUUACAAAUUUUGAUUUCUCCUUCAAUACUUAGUAUUUUUAAGUACUGUUUGUGGCAAAUUGAAGCUCAUGGCGAGAACUACAAGUUUAUUGGAGCAAUUCCUAAUUUGGUGCACUCUUAAUUUUUGGGAUCUAGGGCACAAAAUUGGGGGUUUUGCUUAGAUUGAGGACAUGGGAAAGAAGUGGCGGAUGGCGUUCCACCACAUGCCUAAUUUGGAUUAGAAGAUCAUUUUACUAUUUUUGUAUUCAAGUCUCACUAUUUUUGUAAAACUUAGUAUAUUAUAUUCUGUACGGAAACUUAUGGACUUUUGUUAUUGUAAUUAUAUUCAUGGACUGUAAGUACAUGUAAUUGGAGUAAAAUUUUAGUAUGUGAGCAUGAAACUAUGUAUAAAAUAAGUACUCCUUUAUUCUGCA